GACGAACGCUGGCGGCGUGCCUAACACAUGCAAGUCGAGCGAUGAAGCUCCUUCGGGAGUGGAAUAGCGGCGGACGGGUGAGUAACACAUGGGUAACCUGCCUCAUAGAGGGGAAUAGCCUUCCGAAAGGGAGAUUAAUACCGCAUAACAUAACUUUAUCGCAUGGUAGAGUUAUCAAAGGAGUAAUCCGCUAUGAGAUGGACCCGCGGCGCAUUAGCUAGUUGGUGAGGUAACGGCUCACCAAGGCGACGAUGCGUAGCCGACCUGAGAGGGUGAUCGGCCACGUUGGAACUGAGACACGGUCCAGACUCCUACGGGAGGCAGCAGUGGGGAAUAUUGCGCAAUGGGGGAAACCCUGACGCAGCAACGCCGCGUGAGUGAAGAAGGCCUUAGGGUUGUAAAGCUCUGUCAUAUGGGAAGAUAAUGACGGUACCAUAAGAGGAAGCCACGGCUAACUACGUGCCAGCAGCCGCAGUAA
rnacentral:rRNA from 1 species